rnacentral:rRNA from 1 species
AGUGAACGCUGGCGGUAGGCCUAACACAUGCAAGUCGAACGGCAGCACAGUAAGAGCUUGCUCUUACGGGUGGCGAGUGGCGGACGGGUGAGGAAUACAUCGGAAUCUACUUUUUCGUGGGGGAUAACGUAGGGAAACUUACGCUAAUACCGCAUACGACCUACGGGUGAAAGCAGGGGAUCUUCGGACCUUGCGCGAUUGAAUGAGCCGAUGUCGGAUUAGCUAGUUGGCGGGGUAAAGGCCCACCAAGGCGACGAUCCGUAGCUGGUCUGAGAGGAUGAUCACCCCCACUGGAACUGAGACACGGUCCAGACUCCUACGGGAGGCAGCAGUGGGGAAUAUUGGACAAUGGGCGCAAGCCUGAUCCGGCCAUACCGCGUGGGUGAAGAAGGCCUUCGGGUUGUAAAGCCCUUUUGUUGGGAAAGAAAAGCAGCAGGUUAAUACCCCGCUGUUCUGACGGUACCCAAAGAAUAAGCACCGGCUAACUUCGUG